GACGAACGCUGGCGGCGUGCCUAAUACAUGCAAGUAGAACGCUGAAGCUUGGUGCUUGCCCCGAGCGGAUGAGUUGCGAACGGGUGAGUAACGCGUAGGUAACCUGCCUGGUAGCGGGGGAUAACUAUUGGAAACGAUAGCUAAUACCGCAUAACAGUAGAUAUCGCAUGAUAGCUACUUGAAAGGUGCAAAUGCACCACUACCAGAUGGACCUGCGUUGUAUUAGCUAGUUGGUGAGGUAACGGCUCACCAAGGCAACGAUACAUAGCCGACCUGAGAGGGUGAUCGGCCACACUGGGACUGAGACACGGCCCAGACUCCUACGGGAGGCAGCAGUAGGGAAUCUUCGGCAAUGGACGGAAGUCUGACCGAGCAACGCCGCGUGAGUGAAGAAGGGUUUCGGAUCGUAAAGCUCUGUUGUAAGAGAAGAACGAGUGUGAGAGUGGAAAGUUCACACUGUGACGGUAUCUUACCAGAAAGGGACGGCUAACUACGUG
rnacentral:rRNA from 1 species